rnacentral:rRNA from 1 species
UACAGAGGUCUCAAGCGUUGUUCGGAUUCAUUGGGCGUAAAGGGUGCGUAGGUGGCGCCGUAAGUCAGGUGUGAAAUUUCGGAGCUUAACUCCGAAACUGCAUUUGAUACUGCGGUGCUUGAGGACUGGAGAGGAGACUGGAAUUUACGGUGUAGCAGUGAAAUGCGUAGAUAUCGUAAGGAAGACCAGUGGCGAAGGCGAAUCUCUGGACAGUUACUGACACUGAGGCACGAAGGCCAGGGGAGCAAACGGG